AUGAACGCUGGCGGCGUGCCUAAUACAUGCAAGUCGAGCGAACGGACGAGAAGCUUGCUUCUCUGAUGUUAGCGGCGGACGGGUGAGUAACACGUGGAUAACCUACCUAUAAGACUGGGAUAACUUCGGGAAACCGUAGCUAAUACCGGAUAAUAUUUUGAACCGCAUGGUUCAAAAGUGAAAGACGGUCUUGCUGUCACUUAUAGAUGGAUCCGCGCUGCAUUAGCUAGUUGGUAAGGUAACGGCUUACCAAGGCAACGAUGCAUAGCCGACCUGAGAGGGUGAUCGGCCACACUGGAACUGAGACACGGUCCAGACUCCUACGGGAGGCAGCAGUAGGGAAUCUUCCGCAAUGGGCGAAAGCCUGACGGAGCAACGCCGCGUGAGUGAUGAAGGUCUUCGGAUCGUAAAACUCUGUUAUUAGGGGAGAACAUAUGUGUAAGUAACUGUGCACAUCUUGACGGUACCUAAUCAGAAAGCCACGGCUAACUACGUG
rnacentral:rRNA from 1 species